rnacentral:rRNA from 1 species
GAUGAACGCUGGCGGCGUGCUUAACACAUGCAAGUCGAACGGAAAGGCCAGUGCUUGCACUGGUGCUCGAGUGGCGAACGGGUGAGUAACACGUGGGUGAUCUGCCCUGCACUUUGGGAUAAGCCUGGGAAACUGGGUCUAAUACCAGAUAGGACCAUGCUUUGGAUGGUGUGGUGGAAAGUUUUUUCGGUGUGGGAUGAGCUUGCGGCCUAUCAGCUUGUUGGUGGGGUAAUGGCCUACCAAGGCGUCGACGGGUAGCCGGCCUGAGAGGGUGUACGGCCACAUUGGGACUGAGAUACGGCCCAGACUCCUACGGGAGGCAGCAGUGGGGAAUAUUGCACAAUGGGCGCAAGCCUGAUGCAGCGACGCCGCGUGGGGGAUGACGGCCUUCGGGUUGUAAACUCCUUUCGCAACUGACGAAGCUUUUUGUGACGGUAGGUUGAGAAGAAGCACCGGCUAACUACGU